CUCGUGUUUUCCUGUUCAUGCUUACUGAAUCCCUUAAAUCUCAUGAUUCAAAGAAAUUAAUUAACUGGGUUACUAUGUAUGUGGGAACUUGAGCCUUCUCAAAGGUCAAAUGGUGAAAUUCCCAUGGAAGAUUAUGGAUGAAUUUUCUCCUUUCCACUAAUGCUCCAGUUACUGUGGGACCACCCAAGAGGAAUUUGUGCUCAAAAGUGCAUGGAAGAAUGGCAGCUGGAAAUCAUGCAGAAAAUUUCCAGGGAGAAGAAGAUGAUGAACAAUAACCAGCUAUAGACUGUUAGAAUCUCCAAGAAAGAAAAUAUGAAGAAACUGGAAAUUAGGCAUCCUAUGAAGUGGGUGAUGAUGCAGAGACUGAGUCCAAUAACAAAGAGAAGUAGGAAAGUUUAGGAAGUAGAACAGAAGCAAGAGACUUCUUAGCCCACACAGUUAGUCCUCAGCUCCAAGUGCUGGGUUAAAGAACUGUAGUGGGUUUCCUUCACUGCUUACAACAAAGAGACAGCCACAGAAGCAUCACUGGGAAACACCAGCUAAAGGACAGUAUAUGUCAACUUGUCUUACUGGGCGCUGAGCGAAAAUGCAACCUGUACACACCUGGGAACUGCUUCUAGUACAUGAUGCACAGAACAAAGACCUUUAUGAAGGCCUCUCCAUAUGUUCCUGUAGAAGUCUGAUUUGUACUGAGUACUGUGGCCACCCGAAAGUAGGAGAUUCUGGAAGAGGGGACAUGGACAGCAGUGUUGUACUAGAUCUCAGAAGAGACCCUCCUGGCUAAAUGGAUAGAAGAGCUCUUCAGCAUUUCAAAAUAUUAAAAAGCACUUGGAGAGAGAUGAAAGACAGAAGAAGAAAGGCAAGGAAUCAAGAACUUCAAAGGAUACAAGUCAGGGAUAUAUGAAGAGAAAUUAUAUUUUAGCUUUGUAUUAAGAAAAUUUAUACUAUUUUGUAAUAAUUACACUAUUAAUGUCAGUGAGCAUGUCUUUUGUCAGCGUUGUUCUGCAUGUGAGGUGUCGAAAGCUUAGUCUACACACUGGGCAAUUUCUUAUGACUUGUUUAAAAUUUGAUUUCUGUAACUAUUACAGUAGGGAAUGCCGAUCCCUGACUAAUCAAUAAUAAAACUAGUCCCCUAUUAUGGAAAUCAGUGUGGCAAUUCUUCAGAAAAUUAAAAAAAACAUUUAAUCCAAAUAAAUGUUUACAUGAAAGAUGCUCAGUGAA